rnacentral:rRNA from 1 species
AUACGAAGGGGGCAAGCGUUGUUCGGAAUAACUGGGCGUAAAGCGCACGUAGGCGGAAUGUUAAGUUAGAGGUGAAAUCCCAGGGCUCAACCCUGGAACGGCCUUUAAUACUGGCAAUCUAGAGACCGAGAGAGGUGAGUGGAAUUCCGAGUGUAGAGGUGAAAUUCGUAGAUAUUCGGAGGAACACCAGUGGCGAAGGCGGCUCACUGGCUCGGUACUGACGCUGAGGUGCGAAAGCGUGGGGAGCAUACAGGAUUAGAAACCCUAGUAGUCC